UCGCCAGUUCUGCUUACCAAA
rnacentral:siRNA from 1 species